rnacentral:rRNA from 1 species
AAUAAAUUGAGUUUGAUGAUGGCUCUGAUUGAAUGCUUUUCAAGUGCUUGACACAUGCUAAUCUAACGUUAUUAUUUAAAAGAGUAAUAAAGUGGUGUAAAGGUGAGUAAUAUAUUUUGGCUGCCUUAAAGAAAGGGGGAUAAAUCCUUUAUAAAAAAAGAAAGGAAAUAAAUAAUUUUGCUUUAAGAUGUUAAUAAAUAUAACGACAAGUAGUAGAUAAGGUAAUAACUUAACUAGCUAAAAGAUCGUAAUCAAGACUGAAAGGUCUAUUGAUCACAUUGGGUCUGAAAAAACCCCAAAGCAUAAAGUACAGCAGUGAGGGAUAUUGGUCAAUGGCCUAAAGGCUGAACCAGCAACUUGGAAGAAUGUAAUAUUAAAAUAAUUAACAAAUUUUGUUUAAAAUUCUAAAUAAGAAUAAUGAUAAUGACAAGUAUUUAUUUAUAAGUCUUGACUAAAUUACGUGCCAGCAGUCGCGGUAAUACGUAGUAGGCUAGUAUUAAUUAUCAUAAGCAGGUUUAAAGGGUACCUAGACAGUAAAAACCUCUAAGGAGGGAAAAAUUUACUAGAGUUUAAUAAUAUGAGGUGAGAACUUUUGGAGUAGAGAUAAAAUUUUUUAAUACCAAGAAGACUGUUAUCAGCGUAAGCAACCUUUUAUUUAAAAACUGACGUUGAGGGACGAAGGCUUGGGUAGCAAUAAGGAUUAGAUACCCUAGUAGUCCAAGCAGAAAAUACUGAAUGCCAUAAGUAAAAAGAAAUUUAGCUUAUAAAUGAAAGUGAAAGCAUUCCACCUCAAGAGUAAAAUGGCAACAUUGGAACUGAAAUCAUUAGACCGUUUUUGAGAUCAGUAGUGAAGUAUGUUAUUUAAUUCGAUAAUCCUCGACAAACCUUACCACAAUUUGUAUAAUAAUAGUAUUAUUACAAGCGUUGCACGGCUGUCUUUAGUUAGUGUCGUGAGAUCUGGUUAACUCCUGUAAACUAACGAAAACCCUGAUUUUAUUUAAUUAUAUAAGAUAUAUUUUUUCCUGCUUCUAGAACUAAUCCCUCCAUAGGAAAAGGGGACUAAGACAAGUCAUCAUGGCCAGAAUAUUGUGGGCUAUAGACGUGCUGCAAAUACCAUAACAAAAGGAAGCUAAAUUGUGAAAUGGAGCUAAUCUUUAAAAAUGGAUAAUAUGGAUUGUAGGAUGUAAAUUGCUACAUGAAUAAGGAAUUACUAGUAAUCGUGAAUCAUAACGUCACGGUGAAUUUGAGAUCAAUUAGGUACUAACCACUCGUCAGGCGCUGAAAGAAGUAUAUGCAAUAAGUUUGGUUAUUAAUUAUUUUAAUAUAUAUAAAUCUAAAUAUAUAUAUAAUUUUAUAAUCUUCGUAUGUGUGACUUUGAUUGGUGUUAAGUCGAAAUAUGGUUCGUGUAAUGGAAAUUGCACGGGACUCAUGAACUUA